CAACGUCAGCACGGCGUGACUCCUGGAACUAGCAGCGUUCAUCUUGGUAGCCGCUGCGGCUCUCCUCCUGUCACCCUGUUCGACCAAACGGGUGCACUCGGCUGCAUCCUUGACGGUGACCUCCCUCAAGCCACCGGCCACUCGUUCGUUGUAGAUCUCCAGAUAGCUGAGCAACGCCAGGUACCUCAUCUCCGAGCUAGCGGUCGAGGUGGCCUCGAAGAUGUGGUCCAAGGUGCGCUCGAUGAAUCCUCGCAUCGUGUGCGACUUCCCGCAACCUGUCUGUCCACUCGGUGCUGGCUUCUGGACCGAAGGCUGCGUCGAACUGGUACACCUUGCCGUUCCCUGCCCCGCUCGCUGGACACUCCAGGGUGCAGCAUUUUGUCUGGGUGUCGAUCGUCACCACGUUCUGCGAAGAAAACGAUUACGAAAUAUCCCGAAGCAAAACUAAAAAAAGAACAAGGCUGGAGAAGGAAUUACGUCGAAUCCAGGGCUAUCUCUACAAGGAUCGUGUCGAUAAAUCGAUGACCGCCGCCAGACGUUUCGACAGUCCUCAUCACGAAUUCAGUAAAUCGAUUUUUUUUUUCAUCGCCUCCGACGAUUAAUUUACACGAUUUUCGUCGGCGAGUGCUUUUCGGGAAGUACGCUCGUUUUUCUCGUCGAGGAUUCCGUCGGUGAAUCGGCGAAACGUGUGGGUUGCCCUUGAACCCAGUUACGCGUUGAAUCACCCCGAAUUGUGACGUACGCGAUCACGUAUACACACUUCUGUGCCGGGAUCGGGUUUGCCAAGUGCGACUCGACAAGACGGGACUGUACAGGGUGCUUCAUAAAAUGCGAACGCUACCAGUCACCCGAGACGAACGCAAACACGAAAGUAAUAAAAGAAAAUCGCAAGAGCCGAGAGUACGUCGCAAUAUGUUACGAGUUAUUUCGUUGUUUGUAUACAUUUGGUCUUUUUACACGUGUGCAACGUCCACGUGUACGGUACGUCCGUUGAAUCUACGUACUACAACGUGCCUGAAAAGAUUAAUUUGUCUCGGGAUCAGCGGCACUUGACGAAACACAUUGUAGCAAGAAUUAAGCCACGUGACAAAAGCAGUCGCUCUAGUAUUUUCAACGUGCGAUAAUAUCUGCAGAUUGAUCGUGAUAUAUCGUAACCCCUUGCACUCGACGCGCGAACUGAAUUCAAGAGUCAUAUAUUCUAUUUAUAGUGUCAAUUUAAUUCACCGUUCGGCGUAAUGGUCUUCUUUGAAACGUCAAUUUGCUGAUAAUGUCAUUUACACAUCAUUCGCGUGCCUCGGGUAAAAUGUAAUACAGUCGAGGUAGCCUCGUGAAUAUUUUAAGGAAACUACUGUAAUUCGAUUCGGGAAAGUUUUAAAAAGUUGAUAGAGUCACGGUUACAUUAUGCGAUAGUUUAAAGCGACAAUUUGCACUCGAUACGUCUCGGUACAUGAACAAUGAAGUUUCCAGGCGUAAGUGUUUGCAUACUUUGCGUUACGUUGAUACUUUACAUGUGUACGAAUUCUGAUCACGGAGGGUAGAUAAGAAGGCGACCCCCUAACCGAGUCAAGACUGAAGUUUGACCUAGUGGAAGGGACGCUUACGUUGGCUAUAGUUGUCGCCUAUAGUCGUCGGUUAAACGCGUACUUAACAAUUACAAAAAUCAGUAAAUUCAAAUCAGUAAUUACAGUAAACGUUAAUUACUAUUUCAAGUUUUAAUGCCUGGCAGUUUGAAGACUUAUUUCACCGACAAAACUGUACAAAGUUACUUUCUGGUACGUGUCGAAAUUAAAAAUUUAAUUGCGUUUGGUAAAAUAUAGGACAGUAACUGUGGCAACCUUGAAAGGUCGCAAACAAAGCGUGUCAUCGAACCACGGUGAUUGAAACAAAAAGAUUGCAUUGAAAAAAUGGUAAAUCAAAUACGAACGCAAUCGACGCUGUUUUUCUCU